rnacentral:rRNA from 1 species
AGUACGUGAAACCGUUCAGGGGUAAACCUGAGAAACCCAAAAGAUCGAAUGGGGAGAUUCAUCGUCAGCGCAUUUUGUAUAUGUAUAAGUUGUGAUGCGNNGGUUACUCUUNNGUAGUAUUGCCNUGUACAUUCUUGUAUAUUUUGUUGCAAGAUGUUGUCGGCGUGCACUUCUCCCCUAGUAGAACGUCGCGACCCGUUGGGUGUCGGUCUACGGCCCAAANUGGUAGCCUUUAAUGUUNNUUANNAUACAUUGAAGACCUUUGGUGUUNUCCUGACCGACUGCUCGGCGGUACUCGUACGGUAUUAAGCCGCAUAUUAANNNUAUGCGUCCAUACCCGUCGCAAGCGAGGUUAAUUUUUGGUAGUNACGGACCUAGUGCCGUCGCUGAAAUUAACCAGCUGUUGGUUGUNGCGGUGUUCUAGGACAGGCUAAAAANNUAUNNUACCGGUCGGCGAUGCUACU